rnacentral:rRNA from 1 species
AGAGUUUGAUCCUGGCUCAGAUUGAACGCUGGCGGCAGGCUUAACACAUGCAAGUCGAGCGGGGGAGAUUGCUUCGGUAAUUGACCUAGCGGCGAACGGGUGAGUAAUACUUAGGAAUCUGCCUAUUAAUGGGGGACAACAUCUCGAAAGGGAUGCUAAUACCGCAUACGCCCUACGGGGGAAAGCAGGGGAUCACUUGUGACCCUGCGUUAAUAGAUGAGCCUAAGUCGGAUUAGCUAGUUGGUGGGGUAAAGGCCUACCAAGGCGACGAUCUGUAGCGGGUCUGAGAGGAUGAUCCGCCACACUGGGACUGAGACACGGCCCAGACUCCUACGGGAGGCAGCAGUGGGGAAUAUUGGACAAUGGGGGGAACCCUGAUCCAGCCAUGCCGCGUGUGUGAAGAAGGCCUUAUGGUUGUAAAGCACUUUAAGCGAGGAGGAGGCUCCUGUAGUUAAUACCUACAGAGAGUGGACGUUACUCGCAGAAUAAGCACCGGCUAACUCUGUGCCAGCAGCCGCGGUAAUACAGAGGGUGCGAGCGUUAAUCGGAUUUACUGGGCGUAAAGCGUGCGUAGGCGGCUUUUUAAGUCGGAUGUGAAAUCCCCGAGCUUAACUUGGGAAUUGCAUUCGAUACUGGGAAGCUAGAGUAUGGGAGAGGAUGGUAGAAUUCCAGGUGUAGCGGUGAAAUGCGUAGAGAUCUGGAGGAAUACCGAUGGCGAAGGCAGCCAUCUGGCCUAAUACUGACGCUGAGGUACGAAAGCAUGGGGAGCAAACAGGAUUAGAUACCCUGGUAGUCCAUGCCGUAAACGAUGUCUACUAGCCGUUGGGGCCUUUGAGGCUUUAGUGCGCAGCUAACGCGAUAAGUAGACCGCUGGGGAGUACGGUCGCAGACUAAACUCAAGAUGACGA